AGUUGAUUAUUUUAGAAAAAAAAAUGUUUUGAAAACAUUUAUAAGGGGUUAAAUUCCCCUAUUAACUU
rnacentral:tRNA from 1 species